GACUUUCUUUUUUGGAUCUUGCUCCAAAGAGAUAAAUAAUUCAACAUCGAGGUCAUAAUCUUUUUCUUUUAUAAGAACUUUAAGAAAAAAUUGUGCUGUUAUCCCUACGGUAGCUUGAUUUAUUCCCAAUAAGGGGAUGAGAAAAGAAUGGGGAAAAAGAUUUGGUUUUUUACCGCCCCAGUUCAACAAAAGUAAAGUUCGAUAGGGUCUUGUCGUCCUUCUUUGAAAUACAAGUCUUUUUACUUGAAAGAAAAGUUAAAAUAGUUUGGGUAAUAAAGAAAUUUAUAUGUCAAACCUUUCAUUCUAGCCUUCAAUUAAAAGGCAAAUGAUUAUGCUACCUUAGCACAAGAAAUUUGCGGCUAUUGAAUAAUUCAUUGAGCAGGCCCUACUGAAUAUAAAACCAUUCAGAAAUGUUUUUGAUAAACAGACAAUAAAUGUGAAGGCCGAGUUCAUAAACCUAAAUAUAGCGUAUGUGGAAGAGGGUGUGUUAAUAGAAAUAGUUUAAGUAAAUUUUCUAAUAGAAUCAUUGUAAAAACUUUUAGAAAGGUUUCUUUUAAUAAAAUUUUCAUGGAUAAAACGAGGUGGUUUUUAAACUGGAAGACACUAUUAAUCCUAAAGUUUGAAAUAUUAUGAAAUGAAUAAUUUAUAAAAAGGAUUAUCCCUUUUUAAAUUUUAGUACUUUUACCUUCGAAGAGAACCAGAUAUAAUAGAAUGCGAGUGGAGUUUCAUCUCUAUGUUCACUUUGGAAAACUUUAUGAAACAAGCUUGAUAAGUAGAAAUAGAUCAUUUCAAUUUCGGGAGCAUUUAUUAAAAAGAGAGGAUUGACUUUCCCUGAUACUAAAGGUACAUUUCUUUUCUGUUUAACAAUUAUAAAGUUUUCCCCUCUCGGUUAAGUAGUGUAAGAAAGAAAAAUAUAAAGAAAAAAGUAUUUAUUUAAAUAAAUGCUUCAAGUAAGUAGU
rnacentral:rRNA from 1 species